rnacentral:lncRNA from 1 species
CUGAUAGAUUGACAAAUCAGCUUUACCAUGUGUGCAAGUUAUGUUUAUCAAUUUACUAGGCUACUUAGUGGUAGUAGGUAGUAUUUGGUGAUAGUUUUUAGCUAUAAAUGUAUUGUUUUUCUUAUUGAAAAGAUGAGCUAAAUGAGCUGAAGCCAUAGCUCCCUUGUUGCACAUUUGUGAGCAAGUAAAAAUACUGUCUUGUUUUGUCCUGUAUUUCUUCCUCUGCUGUCAAAAAUCCCCAACAAUAGCUAAAAGCUUGAACUUCAAGCAUUUUUCCUUCAUAUUUUACCCGGGUAUAAUACGUUGCUGCUGGUGCUCUGUUUGAAAUUCUUACUUUACUCGGUUAAAGUGUGUUGAAACUCCAACAUAUAUAUACACACAGAAAACCAGGAACAUUCUUUUUCACCAAACAAGAAAGAAACAAAGUUAAUAAAUUGGUAUCAUGAGCCUUAGUCUUAAGGGCCAUUGAUGUUUACUUCCGCUGCUUGUUAAAAAAAAAGUUGUCAAAGCAUGUCAUCAAGGACUGCUUGAAAAGAAGACAACAUCAGCUCAACCUUAAAAGACUCCCAAACAAGCUUGAAUAAGUUGAAGGAGGAGUUUAAAGGAAAAAAUGUGAGCUUUCCAAUGUGCAAGCUACAAGCUCAGCAAAAAUGUGCAAGUUGCAAGCUCAGCAAGAUGUCAAAACUGCAAGCUUAGCGAGAAGUGAUAGUUGCGAGCCUGUUGAAGACACUUGCUGACGACAGUAUGCAAAGAUGCGAAUCUGUCAAAGGUGCGAGCUCAACAACAUGUGGAAGCAAGAAGAAGCAGGACUGUAAUUAGCAAGGGAACAAGGCAAGAUGUGUUUGAAUGGUGAUACCAACCAAGGCUGUGAAGGAGGAGAACACUCUAUUUGAUGAACAAAUCUAUGGCACAAAAGACUGAGAUAGUCAAGUGUGUGAGUCAGAUUUGGCUGAAAAUGAGGCCAUGGUUGAGAAAAGUUGAAAAUGAAGUGCUUGUGCAAGUUCAGCUUGAAACAAAGCAUCUAAAGACUGCCAAGCUCAAAAAAAAAACUUGAUGAAUGAGUGAUAUUCGCAGCAUGGAGUCCAAAGAGAGCCUACCAUGCUGCUGUGAUAUUUAUUUUGAAGUGCAUGCAACUUCUAAACAUGCUGCAGCACAUAUGCUUGCUGUAACAGAAGGUUUCGGUGAUUUGCAAGCUAAGCUAGGAGUAUGCAGCAUGCAAGCCAAGGAGGAGUGUUGAAGUUGGCAUGCAUGCAGCACAUGAAGCAGCCAAGAAGCAGAACAAACUGCAAAGCCAUACUUAUGCUGGCUACAGUUCAAGCUGCUGUUCAUUUAGUUACUUCAAGCACUAGUUUGGUUUUUUAGUUCAAAAUGAACUGAGUUGGUAUAGCUUUUGAUGUAAUUAGGUGCUGAUAGAUUGACAAAUCAGCUUUACCAUGUGUGCAAAGUUAUGUUUAUCAAUUUACUAGGCUACUUAGUGGUAGUAGGUAGUAUUUGGUGAUAGUUUUUAGCUAUAAAUGUAUUGUUUUUCUUAUUGAAAAGAUGAGCUAAAUGAGCUGAAGCCAUAGCUCCCUUGUUGCACAUUUGUGAGCAAGUAAAAAUACUGUCUUGUUUUGUCCUGUAUUUCUUCC